rnacentral:lncRNA from 1 species
AAGACCAAUUGAAGAUCCAUAGGAGUUUCUAUCAAGGAUUGAACAUAGGAUUGAAGAUAGAAGACCAAAAGCAACGAUUGAAAGAAGAACAAGCCGUUUUCUCUUCAUCAAGAUGAUGGUUAGGGUUUAUUUUGAUUUAUUUUCUUCUAACAUCAUGAGUAGCUAAUUCUGUAGAGAUUCUUGGUUGAGAUGUAGGAAUUGAGCCAUGAUACCUGUUUUGAAUGUCUAAGAACGACGAUUGUGGAUGUUUGGAUUGUAAUGAAAGAUUACCCGUUUGAUUGGUUUUCAACCUAAUUCUUGUUA